rnacentral:lncRNA from 1 species
AGUCUAGGUAGUUGACGGAUAUGAUCUAGGAAGAUUUUGAGCUGCUAUCAAUCUUGCUCCUAGAGAUGCUAGAAUUCUAGAGAAUUUUAUUUUGAAAAUCUUAAAUUGCUACAUGACGGGUUCCUUUAUGACGAGGGUUUUUAAAAUUCCUACCACAGCCAAAUACUUAUGCUUACUAGAUUAGGAAAACCUCCACUUAUAUUUCAACCUAUAAGCAUUGAGCGUAGUUAUGCUGUGUAGACCCUAUGGAACUAGUCAUGUAGUUAAAGUCAAUAUUAUGUGCUCUCCAUCUAUUGAUCUUAGCUACUUCUAUCCUUAGAAGUAUGCAACCACUUUCAUCCACCACAUUCACUAUGUGCUACUUCUGUUCCUAGAAGUACCACCCACAUAUACGCACUACACUCUGUGUUGUUUCUAUCCUAGAGACACACACCUAUGCUGCUCCUACCCUAGGAGUAUGCAUUCCUUCAUUCACCCACACACAUUCCACAUCCACUUAGAAAAUGUUCUACUCCUACACUGAGAGAAGACACCCAAAAAUAUUCAUGUAUUAUUCUACUUAUCUAAUAAAGCCCCAGUUAUCCCAGUUGAUACUCCCUACUGUUAUCAUUGAAUUAAAAGGGAUGGCUGAUCUCUAAAAAAAGAGAGAAAAAAGAGAAAAAGAAAGAAAGAGGACAAAAGUCCCAAUGCAAAAGAAAAGAAAGACAACCAAAUCCUUGUUCUCAGAUUAGGGAAGUAUGUUAUCCCCACGGAGCAAUUGUAGAAUAAGAUAUUCACCAUUAGUUAUCACCCUUGAAAAGCAUCUAGGCCCCUAAUGAGUUUCGGUGAUAAAUUACAAUGUUGAUUACUAUGACUAACGUGUGUUUUGCAGAGGCAAAGUCAUUAGUGUUAGGUCAAGGUAAUAGGUACUCGAUGGACAAGGACGUUCAUGCCAACUUAAUGGUGGAAAUCAUUUCGAUUUUCAAAGGAUAGUUGGACAUUGUCAAGACUAGACUAGGUCUAAGUACCAUAUGGUGAAGAAGGACACUUAGAGUAGUUUAGGACUUUGUUUUCCUUUGACCGUAUUAUUAAGAGGGGCAUUGAUCCAGUAGCUUGACCUAGGCAAGGCUUUAGGUUUAGGUGUGGUGCACACUUGGUAAACCUAGCACUAGGCAGCUCAGAGAUAGUUC